UAACGCGUGGGCAACCUGCCUUACACAGGGGGAUAACAGUUAGAAAUGACUGCUAAUACCGCAUAAGACCACAUUGCCGCAUGGCAGGGUGGUAAAAACUCCGGUGGUGUAAGAUGGGCCCGCGUCUGAUUAGGUAGUUGGCAGGGUAGAGGCCUACCAAGCCUACGAUCAGUAGCCGGCCUGAGAGGGUGGACGGCCACAUUGGGACUGAGACACGGCCCAAACUCCUACGGGAGGCAGCAGUGGGGAAUAUUGCACAAUGGGGGAAACCCUGAUGCAGCGACGCCGCGUGAGUGAGGAAGUAUUUCGGUAUGUAGAGCUCUAUCANCAGGNAAGAAAAUGACGGUACCUGACUAAGAAGCCCCGGCUAACUACGUGCCAGCAGCCGCGGUAAUACGUAGGGGGCAAGCGUUAUCCGGAUUUACUGGGUGUAAAGGGAGCGUAGACGGAGGAGCAAGUCUGAUGUGAAAAUCCGGGGCCCAACCCCGGAACUGCAUUGGAAACUGUUUAUCUAGAGUGUCGGAGAGGCAAGUGGAAUUCCUAGUGUAGCGGUGAAAUGCGUAGAUAUUAGGAGGAACACCAGUGGCGAAGGCGGCUUGCUGGACGAUGACUGACGUUGAGGCUCGAAAGCGUGGGGAGCAAACAGGAUUAGAUACCCUGGUAGUCCACGCCGUAAACGAUGACUACUAGGUGU
rnacentral:rRNA from 1 species